GAAACAACAAAUUCAAACUGUCGCCAAGUGCAGCAAUCAACUCAUCAAACCAUUACGGAAAGACUAGCCUUAUAUUGACCGUGAUAUCAAACAAAGCAAUAUCUUGCUAGAAGGUGCAAUAUGACGUGUUUAGGUUUAGACAAACCAAUCAGGGAAACAUGACCAUUCAAUUCCAUAACUCAAACCAUUUAUGUUGAAUCUGAACGU
rnacentral:lncRNA from 1 species